AGAGUUUGAUCCUGGCUCAGGAUGAACGCUAGCUACAGGCUUAACACAUGCAAGUCGCGGGGCAGCAUGAAGUCAGCUUGCUGACUUUGAUGGCGACCGGCGCACGGGUGAGUAACGCGUAUCCAACCUGCCUGUUACCACGGCACAGCCCGUCGAAAGGCGGAUUAAUGCCGUAUGUGGUCCUUUGCGGGCAUCUAAUUAGGACUAAAGGUUCAGCGGUAACAGAUGGGGAUGCGUCCGAUUAGCUAGACGGCGGGGUAACGGCCCACCGUGGCUACGAUCGGUAGGGGUUCUGAGAGGAAGGUCCCCCACACUGGAACUGAGACACGGUCCAGACUCCUACGGGAGGCAGCAGUGAGGAAUAUUGGUCAAUGGGCGUAAGCCUGAACCAGCCAAGUAGCGUGAGGGAAGACUGCCCUAUGGGUUGUAAACCUCUUUUGUGCGGGGAUAAAGUGUGGGACGUGUCCCAUAUUGCAGGUACCGCACGAAUAAGGACCGGCUAAUUCCGUGCCAGCAGCCGCGGUAAUACGGAAGGUCCGGGCGUUAUCCGGAUUUAUUGGGUUUAAAGGGAGCGUAGGCCGUGAGGUAAGCGUGUUGUGAAAUGUAGGCGCCCAACGUCUGCACUGCAGCGCGAACUGCCCCACUUGAGUGCGCGCAACGCCGGCGGAACUCGUCGUGUAGCGGUGAAAUGCUUAGAUAUGACGAAGAACCCCGAUUGCGAAGGCAGCUGGCGGGAGCGUAACUGACGCUGAAGCUCGAAAGCGCGGGUAUCGAACAGGAUUAGAUACCCUGGUAGUCCGCGCGGUAAACGAUGGAUGCCCGCUGUGGCGCGCCUGGCGUGCCGUGGCUAAGCGAAAGCAUUAAGCAUCCCACCUGGGGAGUACGCCGGCAACGGUGAAACUCAAAGGAAUUGACGGGGGCCCG
rnacentral:rRNA from 1 species